GAUUCAAGCGAUGGCAAUGCCAUAUCCAGCCGCAGUCGAGUGGCGGGACAAAAGUCCCAGAAGAAUUUGCUAGCAGCGGAAGGCAGCAGUACUGGUACCUAGAAUCCAAGAAGAAAUCAGCAAACUAGAUCAAACAACGAAAGGAACUCCAACUGUGAUUUUGCAGCUGCUACCACAUCCAGAGAGAGCGUAAUUUCUUGAGCCUUGAGCCAAUCAUUCACUUGAUUCACGGAAAGCGAAGCCAUUGUUGUAGUCUGUGAGUCGAGCACAUUGCUUGGUCUGCUUAAAUAAGCGGGAAGAAGCUGCCUGCUUUGACUCUUCGAAGGAUGCGUAGAGAGUUCGGAAAUUCGAUGUGUCUUAGAGCUUUUGGAUGUUCAGGCUAGUUGACGGCGACGGCCAAUGAUCUCGCAAUCCACGCGGGGCUCGUAGAGAGUUUCAAGGUCAGUGUGUAUCAUUGACUGGCGUGGCAGGAUCGUCGAACUUGCUUUUUUCGUCAAGUCGUCUUUACCAAGACUUUUUUUGUUACUG